GUGAACGCUGGCGGUAGGCCUAACACAUGCAAGUCGAACGGCAGCACAGUAAGAGCUUGCUCUUACGGGUGGCGAGUGGCGGACGGGUGAGGAAUACAUCGGAAUCUACUUUUUCGUGGGGGAUAACGUAGGGAAACUUACGCUAAUACCGCAUACGACCUACGGGUGAAAGCAGGGGAUCUUCGGACCUUGCGCGAUUGAAUGAGCCGAUGUCGGAUUAGCUAGCUGGCGGGGUAAAGGCCCACCAAGGCGACGAUCCGUAGCUGGUCUGAGAGGAUGAUCAGCCACACUGGAACUGAGACACGGUCCAGACUCCUACGGGAGGCAGCAGUGGGGAAUAUUGGACAAUGGGCGCAAGCCUGAUCCAGCCAUACCGCGUGGGUGAAGAAGGCCUUCGGGUUGUAAAGCCCUUUUGUUGGGAAAGAAAAGCAGCAGGUUAAUACCCCGCUGUUCUGACGGUACCCAAAGAAUAAGCACCGGCUAACUUCGUG
rnacentral:rRNA from 1 species